UCUGGGUAAAAAGUACUGGGAAAGUAGAAAGACAGACUCUCACGGAGGAGGGGCUGUACCCAGCUUGGGAAUGGAGCCAAAAGAAGUGAAUUUUAAAGACAGGACAGACCCUCAAGUAGGAGGAGUUGAGCCCAGUGAAACUGGAAUGAAUAUUAUUUUUAGGUGCCCCUUCCAAAAAGGAGUAAUAAAAAUGUUUAACGUUUCUUAAAUGCUGGACAGAAGGCAUGAACACUAGAGCGCAGAGCUCCCCACAUCAGUGCUGCUGUUAUAGGCAGAGCUUCUAGUGCCACUUAUGGACUAACAUGGCUACCACUGAAACCUGUCAAGAUGGUUUCAAGGACUGCAUGGCUUGUUGGGGCAAUUCCUUCUGUAGAGAUGGACUCUGAUGUAAGCUUGAUUUUUCCCCCUCCCCCCCAUGCUAAGCAAAUGAUUUUCUCAUGCUGCAUUCCAGUUGACUAAAAUGCUACCUUAUUUUGAAAGGGGAUCCUUGCUGCAAAUACAUUCUUAUUAGGGAGCAAUGCAAAAAGGAGAGUAUCUCUCGGGAGUUUGAUUUCAGUUGGACUCACUGCAGAGAGUCACAGUAAGAAACAGGGAUGCUGGAGUAUGAAGGCUAAGUCUCAGAGUCAUCAAAGCAAUGUGGCCUGCCCUGGUGGGGAAAAAAGGAGGAAACUUUCGGACAGGCACACUAAAGACGUUACUCCCAGGAGACUGUUUAAAAGCUGGAGUAUAACACAGAUCCUGUAAAUCCAUGACAAAAGGGAAUCAUACUAUUCAAGGCAAUGAUGUAUUGUGAGAUAUCCAACUGCUAACUCUGUUGCCAAUAUUUUUGCCUCAUUUCUCAAAUAUAAAAUGCAUGCAGUUACAUAUAUUCUACACUCCAGCAAUGCCUACCCUAUGCAGAGACCCUUGGUUAGACCACAAGGAGAUCGCACUGUCCCUGGAAGGGAAGUGGAGUGGGGAAAGCAUCCCCCACAAAAUACUCCCCCUCACCUCCAUGAGUAUGGAGAUGGGGCGGGUGGGAAGUUGCUGGUUGGAUCUAAAAAAAGAGAGGAUGUGCUGCUCCCAGGAGGAUGA